CGAGAGGCCCAAACGUUAUUCGGAAUUACUGGGCUUAAAGAGUCCGUAGGCGGCGCAGAAAGUGGGGUGUGAAAUCCCUCGGCUCAACCGAGGAAUUGCGCUCCAAACUCCUGUGCUUGAGGAAUCUAGAGGUGAGCGGAACUGAUGGUGGAGCGGUGAAAUGCGUUGAUAUCAUCAGGAACACCGGAGGCGAAGGCGGCUCACUGGGGAUUUUCUGACGCUGAGGGACGAAAGCCAGGGGAGCGAACGGGAUUAGAUACCCCGGUAGUCCUGGCCGUAAACGAUGAGCACUAGACCGGAGGGCUGCACAGCUUUUCGGUCGUAGCUAAAGUGUUAAGUGCUCCGCCUGGGGAGUAUGGUCGCAAGGCUG
rnacentral:rRNA from 1 species